rnacentral:rRNA from 1 species
GAGUUUGAUCAUGGCUCAGAACGUACGCUGGCGGCACGCCUAACACAUGCAAGUCGAACGAAGUAGCAAUACUUAGUGGCAGACGGGUGAGUAACAUGUAGGUAUCUGCCCUUUGGCCUGGAAUAACACGAGGAAACUUGUGCUAAUACCGGAUAAGUCUUUACGGAGAAAGCUUUAUGCACCAUUGGAUGAGCCUGCACUUGAUUAGUUUGUUGGUGGGGUAAUGGCCUACCAAGACUGUGAUCAAUAGCUGAUUUGAGAGGAUGAUCAGCCACAUUGGGACUGAGACACGGCCCAAACUCCUACGGGAGGCAGCAGUGGGGAAUCUUGCACAAUGGAGGAAACUCUGAUGCAGCGAUGCCGCGUGAGUGAAGAAGGCCCUUGGGUUGUAAAGCUCUUUCGUCGGGGAAGAAAAUGACUGUACCCGAAUAAGAAGGUCCGGCUAACUUCGUGCCAGCAGCCGCGGUAAUACGAAGGGACCUAGCGUAGUUCGGAAUUACUGGGCUUAAAGAGUUCGUAGGUGGUUGAAAAAGUUAGUGGUGAAAUCCCAGAGCUUAACUCUGGAACUGCCAUUAAAACUUUUCAGCUAGAGUAUGAUAGAGGAAAGCAGAAUUUCUAGUGUAGAGGUGAAAUUCGUAGAUAUUAGAAAGAAUACCAAUUGCGAAGGCAGCUUUCUGGAUCAUUACUGACACUGAGGAACGAAAGCAUGGGUAGCGAAGAGGAUUAGAUACCCUCGUAGUCCAUGCCGUAAACGAUGUGUGUUAGACGUUGGAAAUUUAUUUUCAGUGUCGCAGGGAAACCGAUAAACACACCGCCUGGGGAGUACGACCG